UUGCUCUUCAACGAGGAAUGCCUAGUAAGCGCGAGUCAUCAGCUCGCGUUGAUUACGUCCCUGCCCUUUGUACACACCGCCCGUCGCUCCUACCGAUUGGGUGUGCUGGUGAGAUGUCGGGAUUAGUGGCUGUGGGCGGUUCGCCGCCCUCUGCCGCUGAGAACUUCAUCAAACCCUCCCACCUAGAGGAAGGAGAAGUCGUAACAAGGUUCCUGUAGGUGAACCUGCAGGAGGAUCAUUGAAUCGGUCGAACCAAACCAGCGAACCAAUUGAUUGUGCCCACAUUGACCCCCUUCACCGGGCCAGUCGGUGUGCGUUGGCAUAGGACAAUGGCGGGAAUAGGCCUGCCCCUACUUGUAGCCUGGAGCGGCUGCUUGGGCCAGCGGGGACAAUCUUGUCCCGGUUGGUCUGCCAUCGGCUCGUUUGAGCUGGGCUUCAUCGCCUGGCUCAGCGGGUGGCCUGGCCCACCAAUUCCAAUAACAACUGAAGCCAUUCGAGGCCUGGCCUAGCCAGAAGCCUUGAGACACAAAGACAACUCUCAACAACGGAUAUCUUGGCUCCCGUAACGAUGAAGAACGCAGCGAAGUGCGAUAAGUAGUGUGAAUUGCAGAUUUCCGUGAACCAUCGAGUUUUUGAACGCAAAUUGCGCUCGAGGCCUCCGGGUCGAGAGCAUGUCUGCCUCAGCGUCGCUCAUACCAAAUCGGCUCCUCCGCUUUGAAUAAAAGGGGGAGGGUGCCGGAUCUGGCCGUCCGGUUGCACAGGCCGGUCGGCUGAAAGGAUUGCUCCGCUCGCAGCCUCCCUUUAAUGGGAAGGAGCCAGCCGGUAAGCAUGACCUUCUCCUAUUGGAGUUGGCCUGGCCUGCCGUUGAGUUCUGGUUGUGGGUUUGUAAGGAGUUGACAGGAACCACUUUUGAACAUCGACCUGAGAUCAGGCAAGGACACCCGCUGAACUUAAGCAUAUCAAUAAGCGGAGGA
rnacentral:rRNA from 1 species